rnacentral:lncRNA from 1 species
UUCGAUCAUUGACAAGGUUAAAAGAAAGGGUGGGCCAUUGAUAAAGAAUCGAUGGAAAACCACAAUGCUAGCAGAUGGCGGGCCUCCGCUUUUCUUUUCAUUAAUGAAACCCGCCAGUUAUUAUGAAGAUGGAAAACCACAAUGCUAGCAGAUGGCGGGCCUCUGCUUUUCUUUUCAUUAAUGAAACCCGCCAAAUAUUAUGAACUCAAAUAAAAAAAAUAUGGAUUUAGUAGGCUUGUCCAAAAGAAAAAAAGACGUGGGUGGCAUUAUGACUGGGGUGUCAGUUA